rnacentral:lncRNA from 1 species
AAUGGACAGACGUAAGGCAGCAAGACUGACUGUCCAUCUUGCUCUCUUGGAGUGCUUGUGGAAGUUGUUUUUGAAGUUGAGAAACUAUAUCUCUACUUCAAGUGGGAUGGUGAGAACUGAUGAAGCAAAGCUUGGUGGUCUCCCUACAGGGCAUUCAUGGAUGCUAUUGCAGGUCAGGUGUGGGACUGCAGAGUCUUUUGAGACAUCUUCAUGGUCCACUGCAAGCCAGGAAAGUAUGGACAGGUGUAGUCUGGACAGUCAACAUCUCACCAGAAUAAGAGGAGACAAUGAACUCCUAGCUUUGACAAGUAAUAUUUCUGAAGUUGCACUCCAGGUAUCUUUGACCUUCACAAUAACCACUGUUCAUCUAUGAUAAAUAAAAGUAAAUUAUAGGUGAGAAUUUCA